rnacentral:lncRNA from 10 species
UCUGGUAGGGAGCUCCCCCAGCACCGAAGACUGCGAUGACUUCUGCGCUGACCCAGGGGCUGGAGCGAAUCCCAGACCAGCUCGGCUACCUGGUACUGAGUGAAGGUGCAGUGCUGGCGGUGCGUUCUGGGAAAGGGAGGGGGUCCCUUAGUGCACACAGCCCGGUAACCCCUUCUAAUAUUGGCCCUUCUUUUCUCGGCUUUUAUCUGGUUUCCUGCCUGGCAUCUAUUAGGUUGGUACAAAAGUAUUUGCAGUUUUUGCAAUUACUUUCAGUAAUCAGUCUGUGGAAUCUUAGUCUCCUAACGGCUGCGAUUUAUUUAUUUAUAGUUUUUGAGACUGAGUUUCGUUCUUGUUGCCCAAGCUGGAGUGCAGUGGUGCGACCUCGGCUCACUGCAACCUCCGCCUCCGGGGUUCAAGCGAUUCUCCU